rnacentral:rRNA from 1 species
AUUGAACGCUGGCGGCAGGCCUAACACAUGCAAGUCGAGCGGAGCGGCGGACGGGUGAGUAAUGCCCAGGAAUCUGCCUGGUAGUGGGGGAUAACGUCCGGAAACGGGCGCUAAUACCGCAUACUAUCAGAUGAGCCUAGGUCGGAUUAGCUAGUUGGUGGGGUAAAGGCCUACACAGGCAACGAUCAGUAACUGGUCUGAGAGGAUGAUCAGUCACACUGGAACGGGAACACGGACCGGACUCCUACGGGGGGCAGCAGUGGGGAAUAUUGGACAAGGGGGGAAAGCCUGAUCCAGCCAUGCCGCGUGUGUGAAGAAGGUCUUCGGAUUGUAAGGCACUUUAAGUUGGGAGGCGGUACCAACACAAUAAGCACCGGCUAACUUCGUGCCAGCAGCCGCGGUAAUAC